CCUUAGUUAAACCCAAACAAAUUGCUAACCUCACUUUUUCAACGCCGUCGCCGUCAGUCGUCUACAUUUUUCAUUUUCCUAUUGUACGAUUUACGAUUCGAAACCGAAAGUUAUCAGUUUAUUCGGCGCAUGUAGGAAAGCUAUUAACUUGUAGAAAUAUUGUCAAAAUUUGUGAUGGAAUCCGAAGGAACGUAUCCAAAUUUAAUGCAUCUCUUUGGCUUUGAUGGUUUUGGGCAGCUGACAGCCUGCAAAGAAAGUAUCACCUCAGCCUGUUUGCCGAAUGUAAUUGGGAUAUCGUUUUCUUGGGCUAACUGUCUCCUGUUAUGCACUUCUGCAGGUGAGCACCCAGACAUGUAUUUAGCAGGAUUAAUUCGUCACAAAAAACAGCAAUUAGAUAAAUUGGAACUGCCAGUUGAAGAACAUGACAUUAUUGAUGUCAUCAUAAAUUCUAAAAGUGUUCUAAUAUUGACUGGAAAUAGUGAAAUCUGGAGACUCACUCUAUCCACUAAGAAAUGGGAUAACAUUACAUCCAUUUUUUUGCUCAGCAAGAAGGAUCUCUCACUGAAGUUGCUAAGCCUCACGUUCGUAGAAUUGUAG
rnacentral:lncRNA from 1 species